UGAGGAAUAUUGGUCAAUGGGCGAGAGCCUGCACCAGCCAAGUAGCGUGCAGGAUGACGGCCCUAUGGGUUGUAAACUGCUUUUAUGUGGGGAUAAAGUGCGUGACGUGUCAUGCAUUGCAGGUACCACAUGAAUAAGGACCGGCUAAUUCCGUGCCAGCAGCCGCGGUAAUACGGAAGGUCCGGGCGUUAUCCGGAUUUAUUGGGUUUAAAGGGAGCGUAGGCUGUCUAUUAAGCGUGUUGUGAAAUUUACCGGCUCAACCGGUGGCUUGCAGCGCGAACUGGUCGACUUGAGUAUGCAGGAAGUAGGCGGAAUUCAUGGUGUAGCGGUGAAAUGCUUAGAUAUCAUGACGAACUCCGAUUGCGCAGGCAGCUUACUGUAGCAUAACUGACGCUGAUGCUCGAAAGUGCGGGUAUCAAACAGG
rnacentral:rRNA from 1 species